ACGUAUAGUUGCCUUAUCGCUUUCUCUUUGUGAGAAAGAGGAAAGUCCGGACAACACAGAGAGCCAUACUUCCUAACGGGAAGGGUCUUUAUAAACAAAGAUACAGAUAGUGCCGCAGAAAAUAACCGCCAUUAGGUAAGGGUGAAAAUGUGAGGUAAGAGCUCACAAGAUUUGAUAGUGAUAUCGAAUUUGGGUAAACCUUAUGGGUUGAAAGAUCAAAUAUACCAAGGUGCAUGUAUAUGCUAAGAGUUUCUCGCUCGAUCUUGGAGGGUAGAUCGCUCGAUUAUAUUAGUGAUAAUAUAACUAGAUAAAUGAUAAGGGUCUUUUUUUAGAUACAGAAUCCGGCUUAUAGACGUAUACGUAAUU
rnacentral:RNase_P_RNA from 1 species